CCCUUAGAUGUCCUGGGCUGCACGCGCGCUACACUGAUGUGUCCAGUAAGCACCUAACCUCUUCCGAAAGGAACGGGUAACCUUUGCAAAGCACAUCGUGAUGGGGAUAGAUUAUUGCAAUUAUUAGUCUUGAACGAGGAAUUCCUAGUAAGCACAAGUCAUCAGCUUGUGUUGAUUACGUCCCUGCCCUUUGUACACACCGCCCGUCGCUCCUACCGAUUGAAUGAUCCGAUGAAUAUCAUGGAUUGAGAGUACGAAUGGGUUCGCUCAUUUCUGCUGCUCGAGAAGUGAAGUAAAUCUUAUCAUUUAGAGGAAGGAGAAGUCGUAACA
rnacentral:rRNA from 1 species